AUCCGGAGUGACGACUGGCGCAGGUGGACCACCACCGGGGAGUCACAUGGGAGUUGCAUCGCCCGCCUGGGUGCACCCG
rfam:Knoellia subterranea KCTC 19937 contig14, whole genome shotgun sequence.